UCAGUUCUCUUGACAUUACAUCUGUUAUCUAAAGCUUUUAAAAAAAAGUUUGACCUCCUGUCUCAGGUGGACCACCCUGCUUCCUGCCGCUGGUGUCCUGAACUUGUCAAGCAGUUGCUCUUGGACAGGAACACCUCCAGUGGAUUCGGGCUCCACAAACUGGAUCUUUGCUGUGGUGGAGAAUGGUCUCACCUCACUGAUGGAUGGAGAUGAUGGCACCUCUGGUAAAGGGAGGAAAUGCAGUGUGAUUACAACAAAAACUCUGAAAGAAAACCCUUCACUUCAAGUCUAUGCUCAUGAAAUCUUGAUGACAUCAGGGGUAUGUAUGUGUGUGUGUGCACCUGGAAGGACUAUGUGUAUAUGUGUACAUUUAUUUUAUGGACUGUAAAUCGUGGUUUGAUGUGUGUGUGUUU